UGAACAGCAGUAGUGUGAUGCAGCGACUGCAAGGGAGGACUGUGAGCACAGCGACACGUGACGUUUUGAUAUCAGAAGCAUCUAAAAUUGACAAAGCUUUGGUAACAGAAAAGUUGCAAGCAUAAUUCCUCAUUAAUAACUCCAUUUGUGUUAUUGUUCUGCCUAAAACUUGUUCCUGCUUUCCAAAGAAGGCAAAACAGGAAAAAUAUUAAAUUGAUGUGAAAAAUUUAAGUCUAAUACGUAUUUCAAACUGUCUGAUCUGUGCAUGGGAGGAAGAAAAGAUUAAAGCUGCAAUACAACAGCCUGCCUUUAGAAAGUGAGCUGGGAGGAGGAAGUCAGUACCAAGGAAUGUUCUCACCAAAGACACUGGACCAUUUCCAGGCUACGGCUCACGAGUUCUAUGUCCUCCAGUCAGUGUGGAUGACUUGUUUUGUUUUCAUGUGAAGAUUCUGGCCAUCUCAGAUGUGUAGGAUGGAUGUUCUGUUAGGUGACCAACUCCCUGCCAUGAGGGAAGAGACACCCCCCCUGCAAAUGGAGAUGGACCACCAAAAUGGAAAAAUCAAAGCAAAGCCAGCAUCUUUGCAUUGUAUUCAGGUGUUCAGCAAUGUGAACGAUCGUGGAGAGUUUAACAUUUGAGGAGUGGAAGAUGGUCUCAUUUCAGAAGCUCGGCGCUGUGCAGCAGUGCCCUUCCCUGGCUCAGCGCCCGGUGCCAACAGAACACCUUGCAGGAUCCUCAGCAGCGCAGACAACACAACCUGGAUGCUCAAGAGCAGAGGAUCUAUCAACUGCAGACCAAGCAGAGGCAGAGGCAGGCAGAACCGGAGCAGUAAUGCAGCCAGAUCCAGCAGCUCAGCCAGGAGCUGGAGGCCACCACCAGCUACAGGAGGAAGCUUGGAUGCAGAGCUGCCAGGAGUCACACUGCUCAGACUGCACAUUCCUUCUGCAUGCAGAUCUGGCUUGGGAGAGCACGCUACUCACAUGUCGGCUCAGCCGCGUGUUUGUCUGCCUGAUGUCCAUUCAGGCACCUUUAGUCGUUAAUGGAUUUUGACUGCAGGCUGUGAUCAGAUCCAGAUGGCAAACAGAUUCUGGGACGUGGAGAGAGUGGAUCCUGAAAAUCUGUGCAGGAUUACUUGCUUAAUCUGCAUCGUUCCUCCACAACACCUGCUUCUAAUCUCUUUCAGCACUCCUUAAACCAGAAGAAUUAUGUCUAUUUUAAAAACUUGAUAGUGCAGCAUUCUCAGUGUACUGGAAGACUAAAUCAGCCACGUGCUACUGGUGCUGGAGUAUCAGGUCUCACCGUGCUGGACAGCAGAAUGAGCUCCGCACAGCUGGCUUGUCCAGAAGGAGAGCAGCAUUUUAGAAUCUGAGCGGUAUUUUUCUCCUUAUUACUCAAAGUAGAAAUGGUUUGUUUCACUUAAUUUAGUGAUAGUGAGGUACGUUCACUUCAUGUGAAGGAACAUAGCUAGAUAUUGUUCCUUUUACUGCCAUGUCAUCCUUUGUUCUCACUAUGUGUAUGUGUGUAUGAAGAGACAGCACAGCAUGUGGGCAGAACUGCAUGUUGCAAGCCUGUUUUCAGAUUGUCUGCUGGAGAAGGCUGCUGCUGGCAGUUUGCAUGCUUUUGUCUACUUGUGUGCAUGAAUGGUGAAGGAUGAAUGAAUCUGUGAGUGUAUCAUUGUGUGCCUGCAUUUUUUCUCCAUAUGUAUACGGGUAUCCAUACACUGAUUUGUGCAGCCAGAGCACAGCAGGGAGGAAUCAUGCUUCUGUUUCUUCUUACAGUUACUCUGUCUUACUCCCUUCCCAUCCUAUCCCUUCCAUGUGUUGAUGCUGAGUUCAGGUGAGUCUGACUGCUUGCUUUUGGUGUGAAAGUGACAGAUACAACAACACAGUUCUAAUCUUUCUCCUACAAAAUUCCCAAUCAAAGCACAUCCAGCUCUGUUACAUAAAAAUCUAACAUUCUUCUGGGUCAGAACAGAGCUCUACAGUGCUCUGUGUCUGAUGGCAGCUUAUGCCCAUGCCUUGGAAAGAGGAAAAAAAGGAGAAGCUGUACU
rnacentral:lncRNA from 1 species